AUGCUCUGUACAUAUUUCAAGGAGACUUGUGUUAGUUCUUGCUUGGUACUACUAUUUGCCAAAGUUUUGCAAGAUCCGGCUAUACGACUACACAAAUUCCAGAGACGCCCGGUCCUUUGCUUGUGGCUUUUUUCUCGCUCUAUCUUGUGGAAAGAAAGACUCCACCAGCACAGAAAAAAAAGGCUUGGUUUCUUUUAUAGAUUUGAAGAAGUUCAUGAUUUGGAAAAAAUAUUCAUGAAUUUGAUGUGUUCACGAUUUUUUUUAAGGUUGCGGAAUCAAAAAAAUGUUCACGCAUUUGAAAAAAUAAAUCAUGAUUUAAAAGAAGUUCAUGAAUCUGAAAAAUCUUUGUGGAUUCAAAAAUAUUCUCAAAAUGUAAAAAGUAAUCAUGAACUUUAA
rnacentral:rRNA from 1 species